rnacentral:rRNA from 1 species
AAACUUAAAUGAAUUGACGGGGGCCCGCACAAGCGGCGGAGCGUGCGGAUUAAUUCGAUGCAACGCGAAGAACCUUACCAAGGCUUGACAUAUACUGGACCGCACUAGAGAUAGUGUUUCCCUUCGGGGCUGGUAUACAGGUGGUGCAUGGUUGUCGUCAGCUCGUGUCGUGAGAUGUUGGGUUAAGUCCCGCAACGAGCGCAACCCUCGUUCUAUGUUGCCAGCAUUUAGUUGGGGACUCAUAGGAGACUGCCGGGGUUAACUCGGAGGAAGGUGGGGACGACGUCAAAUCAUCAUGCCCCUUAUGUCUUGGGCUUCACGCGCGCUACAAUGGCCGGUACAACGGGUUGCGAUACUGUAAGGUGGAGCUAAUCCCUAAAAGCCGGUCUCAGUUCGGAUAGAGGUCUGCAACUCGACCUCUUGAAGUUGGAGUCGCUAGUAAUCGCAGAUCAGCUACGCUGCGGUGAAUACGUUCCCGGGCCUUGUACACACCGCCCGUCAAGUCACGAAAGUGGGUAACACCCGAAGCCGGUGGCCAAACCUUUUUGGAUGGAGCUGUCUAAGGUGGGACUCGCGAUUGGGACUAAGUCGUAACAAGGUAGCCGUACCGGAAGGUGCGGCUGGAUCACCUCCUUU